GAUGAAGAACGCAGCGAAAUGCGAUAAGUAAUGCGAAUUGCAGAAUUCCAGUGAAUCAUCGAAUCUUUGAACGCACAUUGCACCUCUCGGUAUUCCGGGAGGUAUGCCUGUUCGAGCGUCAUUUGUACCCUCAAGCUCUGCUUGGUGUUGGGUGUUUGUUCCGCCUCUGUGUGUGAACUCGCCUCAAAACAAUUGGCAGACGGCGUACUUGUUUCGGAGCGCAGCACAUUUUGCGAUCCAGAUCAACGUACAGCGGCAUCCAAGAAGCCUUAUUUAACGCUCUUGACCUCGGAUCAGGUAGGGAUACCCGCUGAACUUAAGCAUAUCAAUAAGCGGAGGA
rnacentral:misc_RNA from 1 species